rnacentral:rRNA from 1 species
UGGGGAAUAUUGCACAAUGGGCGCAAGCCUGAUGCAGCGACGCCGCGUGAGGGAUGGAGGCCUUCGGGUUGUAAACCUCUUUCGCCAGUGAAGCAGACCAUCUUCUUUGUGGGGUGGUUGACGGUAGCUGGAUAAGAAGCGCCGGCUAACUACGUGCCAGCAGCCGCGGUAAUACGUAGGGCGCGAGCGUUGUCCGGAAUUAUUGGGCGUAAAGAGCUCGUAGGCGGCUGGUCGCGUCUGUCGUGAAAUCCCCUGGCUUAACUGGGGGCUUGCGGUGGGUACGGGCCGGCUGGAGUGCGGUAGGGGAGAAUGGAAUUCCUGGUGUAGCGGUGGAAUGCGCAGAUAUCAGGAGGAACACCGGUGGCGAAGGCGGGUCUCUGGGCCGUUACUGACGCUGAGGGGCGAAAGCGUGGGGAGCGAACAGG